UCAGCAGAACAAUGGGAAGGGAGCAAGAUAGCAGCUCCCGAUAUACCCCUUCACUGCUUCUUUCUCAGAUGCACAAAGUAUCUUAUUCUGCUUAACCUGAAAGGCGUCCAUCAUGUUCAGCCCACAAAGAAUAACUCUGAACUCUGAAGCUCUACACACGGCAGAUAUUGUUAGCCAUCUUUUGUCUUUAGUCAUCCUUUGACUAUAGUGGCCAACAGCUGCCCAUGUAUACAUAUGCAGAACCAAGGAGGUCCUACCGAACAUGCUGGAAAAUUCAUGAGGGAAAACCCACUGAUGCCAAAUGCUUACUGGGCCUCUGCCAUUUGAUCUGGUGGCUGCCUGUACUGUCAAAUCUGGCUGAAAGUUUGUAGAUAACCUGGUCUGUCCAUUUAGCUGCUAGGAGUAGCCAUUUUCAUAUGUGGAUAUGGAACUCAUUUAAUAAUUACAGUAAAACAUUAAAACUAUAUUAUGCAAUAAAUCCUGAUGAAUAAUA